rnacentral:lncRNA from 1 species
AAUACCCUUACAGAUUGCAUCUGCAUUAAGACUUAAGGUCUCAACUUGUUGAUUCUUUGCUAGGGAUUCUUAUCACAAUACAAAGAAUUUACUGCCAUUGAUUGCAUCCGAAUGGACAGACACACACAGAUGCACAUUUCAUGGGAGUGUUUCUCUCAUAAGCAGAGAGAACCCUUCUCAGCCUGAAUUCCUUGACUUGCAAGUCUGUGUGGGAUUCAGGAUUACAGAUUUAAUGACCGAAACAUAAUAGGGUCUGAGAGGCGGGAUCUACAGCAGAGCUGUGGGCAAAACUGCUGGAACCAGGCAGGUCCUACCUCCACGACACAGCAUAGAGGGUGACGUGUCUGAGGGCACACAGGCUCUGGUUAGGCUUUGUGGAAUUCUGACCUCAAUGAGUCACUGAAUUGUUGAGAUUGCCCUGGUAAGUCAGAUCUUGAUUCAGUUUCUCCAUGGGUAAAUUGGGAGCAAAUAUACUGGCUGUUUAACUUCCCUUAGGGUAGGUGUGGUCUUAAAAUAGCUUCUCCAAGUUGAGGCAGUUGGUGGGUGUGACUGUCAUUUCUGUGGGAUGGAGGAGUUGCAGCCUUCCCGUGAGAUCAGUGCCCUGGCAUGGCUGAAGUGACAUGGAGAGGCCAGGAGGCAGCCUGGCAGGAAGGGUGGCAUCCCCCAAAGGGAGGGAAGAGGGAAGCUGGAGAGGUGUGGCCGACCCUUCCCAGAGAGACUUCAUGACACUGGCAUUCCCCAGGGGCAGUGUGUGGCUCUGUGAAUGUUCCAGACAUUAGCCAGGGCAGUUGAAGCCGCCCUUUAUGCCAUACGUGGAACUGUGCUUUAGGAAGUGGCUUAGUUGGUGGAAUAAUCAUUGCUGAACCACAAUGCAACCACAAAUGCCAGCAAGUGUGCACCUUCUUUCCUGGUGAGUGCAAUAGUCAGCCACAUCCUUCUGGACCAGCCCGGCCUUGUUUCCUAACUGGGUGGGCCCUGCUUUGAUGACAGGUGCAUUCCUAGAGGUACUGUCUUCCUGCAGAGUUUUACGUAAUGCAACGCCAAGAACGCUUUGAUGGUGUGGGCUCUUACUGUCAUUGAAACAUCCCAACGAACUCUCAGGGCAGCAUUGAGUGAGAGCAAUGGCUUGGGAGACCCUUCGUCAUCUGGUUGGGCUGGUGUGUUUGCUGCCCUUGGAAAUUCUCUCAGCAUUUCCGCUGUUUGUCUCCUCAGCAAGCUUAUUUAUGUCUUUAUACAUACACUCAGGGGACCUAAAAAUAAUGUUUCUCAUUUCAAUCAAUCUUCCUCAUCCUCAACAUCUCGUUCAAGCCACACCUCUAUCUUCCGUCCUCCCCGACAGCUUCAGGAUUUUUCUCUGAGCUCAUAGCAUUCAGAGUCAUUUCACACACAUAAUGGUCUUGAGUUGCCUGUCAUUUUUAGGUUCUGAGUC